rnacentral:rRNA from 1 species
UGAGGAAUAUUGGUCAAUGGACGGAAGUCUGAACCAGCCAAGUAGCGUGCAGGAUUGACGGCCCUAUGGGUUGUAAACUGCUUUUGUUGGGGAGUAAAGUGAGGCACGCGUGCCUUUUUGCAUUUACCCUUCGAAUAAGGACCGGCUAAUUCCGUGCCAGCAGCCGCGGUAAUACGGAAGGUCCAGGCGUUAUCCGGAUUUAUUGGGUUUAAAGGGAGUGUAGGCGGUCUGUUAAGCGUGUUGUGAAAUUUAGGUGCUCAACAUCUACCUUGCAGCGCGAACUGGCGGACUUGAGUGCACGCAACGUAUGCGGAAUUCAUGGUGUAGCGGUGAAAUGCUUAGAUAUCAUGACGAACUCCGAUUGCGAAGGCAGCGUACGGGAGUGUUACUGACGCUUAAGCUCGAAGGUGCGGGUAUCGAACAGGAUUAGAUACCCUGGUAGUCCGCACGGUAAACGAUGGANGCCCGCUGUUAGCGCCUGGCGUUAGCGGCUAAGCGAAAGCAUUAAGCAUCCCACCUGGGGAGUACGCCGGCAACGGUG